rnacentral:rRNA from 1 species
AUGAACGCUGGCGGCGUGCCUAACACAUGCAAGUCGAACGGAGAAUUACGCUGAUGAAGCUUCGGCAGAUUCUUGUAAAUUCUUAGUGGCGGACGGGUGAGUAACGCGUGGGCAACCUGCCUCAUACUGGGGGAUAACAGCUGGAAACGACUGUUAAUACCGCAUAAGCGCACGGUAUCGCAUGAUACAGUGUGAAAAACUCCGGUGGUAUGAGAUGGGCCCGCGUCAGAUUAGCCAGUUGGCAGGGUAACGGCCUACCAAAGCGACGAUCUGUAGCCGGCCUGAGAGGGCGGACGGCCACAUUGGGACUGAGACACGGCCCAAACUCCUACGGGAGGCAGCAGUGGGGGAUAUUGCACAAUGGAGGAAACUCUGAUGCAGCGACGCCGCCGUGAGUGAAGAAGUAUUUCGGUAUGUAAAGCUCUAUCAGCAGGGAAGAAAGACUCGUAAGAGAGAUGACGGUACCUGACUAAGAAGCCCCGGCUAACUACGUGCCAGCCGCGGC